rnacentral:rRNA from 1 species
GGACUACUGGGGUAUCUAAUCCCGUUCGCUCCCCUGGCUUUCGCACCUGAGCGUCAGGUACUUCCCAGAAUGCUGCCUUCGCCUUUGGUGUUCUUCCGGAUAUCUACGCAUUUCACCACUCCACCCGGAGUUCCGCAUUCCUCUGAAGCCCUCAAGUCCACCAGUUUCCAAAGCCCCUGCUCGGUUAAGCCGAGCGCUGUCACUCCAGACUUGGUGCACCGCCUGCGUGCGCUUUACGCCCAGUAACUCCGGACAACGCUCGCCUCCUACGUAUUACCGCGGCGGCUGGCAC